rnacentral:rRNA from 1 species
AGAACGAACGCUGGCGGCAGGCCUCAAACAUGCAAGUCUAGGGGGUAGCAAUACCACCGGCGGACGGGUGCGUAACGCGUGGGAAUGUACCUAUUGGUUCGGAACAACCCAGGGAAACUUGGGCUAAUACCGAAUGUGCCCGUAAGGGGAAAGAUUUAUCGCCAAUAGAUCAGCCCGCGUAGGAUUAGCUAGUUGGUGAGGUAAUGGCUCACCAAGGCUCCGAUCCUUAGCUGUUCUGAGAGGAAGAUCAGCCACACUGGGACUGAGACACGGCCCAGACUCCUACGGGAGGCAGCAGUUGGGAAUCUUGGACAAUGGGGGAAACCCUGAUCCAGCCAUGCCGCGUGAGUGAUGAAGGCCUUCGGGUUGUAAAACUCUUUCGACGGGGACGAUAAUGACGGUACCCGUAGAAGAAGCUCCGGCUAACUUCGCGCCAGCAGCCGC